rnacentral:siRNA from 1 species
UACCUUCACCGUUAUCGUUAGCCU